rnacentral:rRNA from 1 species
UACGAAGGGGCUAGCGUUGCUCGGAAUCACUGGGCGUAAAGGGUGCGUAGGCGGGUCUUUAAGUCAGGGGUGAAAUCCUGGAGCUCCAACUCCAGAACUGCCUUUGAUACUGAGGAUCUUGAGUACGGGAGAGGUGAGUGGAACUGCGAGUGUAGAGGUGAAAAUUCGUAGAUAUUCGCAAGAACACCAGUGGCGAAGGCGGCUCACUGGCCCGUUACUGACGCUGAGGCACGAAAGCGUGGGGAGCAAACAGG